GUGAGGAAUAUUGCGCAAUGGACGAAAGUCUGACGCAGCCAUGCCGCGUGAAGGAUUGACGGCCCUAUGGGUUGUAAACUUCUUUUGUAUAGGAAUAAACCCUCGUUCGUGAACGAGGCUGAAGGUACUAUAAGAAUAAGCACCGGCUAACUCCGUGCCAGCAGCCGCGGUAAUACGGAGGGUGCAAGCGUUAUCCGGAUUUAUUGGGUUUAAAGGGUCCGUAGGCUGAGCGUUAAGUCAGUGGUGAAAUCCUACCGCUCAACGGUAGAACUGCCAUUGAUACUGGCGAUCUUGAGUAUGUAGGAAGUUGGUGGAAUGUGUGGUGUAGCGGUGAAAUGCUUAGAUAUCACACAGAACACCGAUUGCGAAGGCAGCUGACUAAUACACAACUGACGCUGAGGGACGAAAGUGUGGGGAUCAAACAGGAUUAGAAACCCCUGUAGUCC
rnacentral:rRNA from 1 species